UCCAACACCAUCUGACCACGGCUCAGCGGAGGACGGGACGUUACGCAACAAACAACCUCACAGGAGACGCUCUUUUCCCUGGAACAGAACUCCAGUUUUUAUCCCUAAAUAAACCCGUGAAGGUUUUUUCAAAAUAUCUGCUUUAAGAGUUUUAUUUUCCAACUGAAAUAUAACAAGAGUUUGCAGCGAUGAACAUGUUGAAUUAACUUUAUUUGUCUCCAUCUUUGAUGACAGAACAGAAACAGAGUAACAGGCGUCGACACAUUAAACAGAAUAAAAAACACGUCAAAAUCAAAACAAUAAAAACUUUGACAUUCAGAUAAAUGAAGAUUUAAUUAAAACUUUUUCAUUUAAUGUACAGGCAGACGAAGAGAGAGACGUCUUUACACUUAGAAAACACUCAGAACUGACAUUUCCCACUCUGCCGAGGUUCCUGAACGCAUCAGUCACAGAAAAAUAAAGAUCUUCCCUUAUUUAUGUUGAGACCAUGGACUGUAUCGAGAAUAGACGCCGUCUGACUCCUCGCUGGGUGAGAACAGCGCCCUCUGGUGACGGGCUGCAGUGUAGGUCAUAAGCCCCGCCUCCUCCAUCAAACUUUAUAAAUGAAUGACACAGAAUAUAAAUGUUUCUCCCUCCUGGUUGUGAUGUUGACAUGUAGUUACUGUCAGACUGGUUUGUGCUCAAGUCCUCUUUUUUCUGUACAGCUCCAUUUUUAAAAGUUAUUAGGGGGUUCAUGUUUUCUAUGAUUGACACCUGAUACAGCCUAUGGGAGGACAGAGAUUGCACAUACUUUAUUUGAGCUGAGCAUCAUCACAGUGACUCUCCCACCAAAUGUGUACAACGUUACUGCACAAUGCUGGCUUCAGGAAAGGGAGAAAAAUCGUGGAAAUAAUUUGAGUAAUUUCGGCUUCACAUUCGUACAAUGACGGGAGGCGGAGCCCGUAGUAAAUACAGUCUAUGGUUGAGAUGAAUGACACGCAGAGUUGGACCAGAAAACUUCAGUUUCAUCUUUUAAUGAUAUAUCUGUCUGUUUUUUUAGUUUUUGCAGUUUUAAAGGCACUGAGUAGAAGCGGCCCGGCUGUUAGCUCCUCAAGUCCAAAAACCGUCAUCGGAGCAGAAGGCGGCGCAAACACGGUUAUUUUAGGCUAAAAAGGCACGACAAGUUUCUACGAGAGUCAAGCUAAAUAAGCUCGAAAUAAAACAGGCACUGACAGAGGAAAACCUAGCUAAACACAGUCAGAAGCUAACGUUAGCAUUAGCAUCUUUGGUUUUAGCGCUGAGGUCAUGUUAAAUUUAUAUCUGCAUGAGCUGGAGAUGGUUUAGUGACUUUAGUUCGUCACACAGAUAAAGACGAAGGAGGGGAAAUUAUGAGGAGGAGAGCAGAGAUGGUGUGAUGCUAGCUCCUGUAGGUGAUAUUCUUUUCAUAGAAUGGCAGGGGAAGGUCCCGCCUCCUUCUUCUCUGAUUGGCUGUAAGUGUAACGUCAUCGUCUGUAAUGUUCUUAAUGUUCUGUUCGAUGUACAGAGCCAACAGCCCGCACUCAGCUAGAGCGUGUGAUGACGUUUCACAGCCAUAAGGAAUAACCAAUCAGGGCCCAGCUUUUCUAGCCAAUCAGAGGCAAAGGAGGCGGGACCUUCCCCUACAAUCGUACAAAGAAAGAUAUCACCUCCUGUAGCUACAGCAAGUAUCUUGACUGAAGUUUGUGUUCACUGAGAGUUAAUCAGGUAAUAGUAAAACUUUUUAUUUUGCGCACAAGAUACAACUUUGUUCAAACAAGAUAUGAACUCGUGCUCACGAGGAAAUAACCUGUUUGAACAAAAUAAAGAUAUUCUGGGAAAAGAUGUCCCAACAAGAUCACUCUGCUGUACACUCUCUCAAGGUUAUCUGCUCGCUUCUAUAAGAUAUCUAAAUGUGCGCUCAAGAUAAAUCUUGUUCCCAUGAGUCAAAUAGGAUAAUCGGGUUUUAGUCGCACAAGAUGAUUGAGUUUUUCCCUAAAAGAAAUGACUGUUGUGAAGAUGAGGUAAUAAUAUCUUGUUGCUCAGCGGAUAUCAUGUCUGAUAAUUAUCUUGAUAAAUAUCUUCAUUAUCUGACAUGGAAACAUGAUCCUGCUGAAUGACUUUAGCGAACAGGAUCGUGUCUCCCUGAUCAGAUAAUUGAUCUAAUUUCGCUGUUUCUGAUUGGUCGACUGUCCUCACACUCAGGAUUUAGUUCUGGUUCAGAUUUUCAGAGUUCGGAUCAUGUUGGAGAGACGCUCUCUCGCUGUAACCUCCGUCACUAAAACAAAGACGGGUCUGUUAGGGGGGGAAAGUGUGCAGUCAGCAGGGUCAAAGGUCACCGCCUCUCCUCUGUUUACAAUGUGAGGAAACUGAGGCGAACAGACACUGACUGACCGUUCGAACAGCUUUCAGGACGUCGCCCAUCCCCGAGGACGCGUUAACGCCGAGCUGCAGCAGCAGCAGCGGCGGCGGUGGAGCCGGCGGUCAU
rnacentral:lncRNA from 1 species